AAAAAUCUAGUUAAAUCAAUAACAAAAGAAUGUCAUUCUUUAAUUACCCUAAGUGAUUUUUA
rnacentral:tRNA from 1 species